CGGACGAAACAGGGGUGUCCCCGCCGCACUAAGAACGUGUUGACGAAAGCGGCAGGCGACUGAGAAAUACCCUAAGCACCCGAUCCAGGUCAUGCUGGCGUGGGGAGUUUCAACAGCAUCGGC
rnacentral:ncRNA from 2 species